rnacentral:rRNA from 1 species
CAGCCGCCGCGGUAAUACGAAAGGGGCUAGCGUUGCUCGGAAUGACUGGGCGUAAAGGGCGCGUAGGCGGCGAUCAAAGUCAGACGUGAAAUUCCUGGGCUCAACCUGGGGGCUGCGUUUGAUACUUGAUUGCUAGAGUGGGGAAGAGGGUCGUGGAAUUCCCAGUGUAGAGGUGAAAUUCGUAGAUAUUGGGAAGAACACCGGUGGCGAAGGCGGCGACCUGGUCCUUGACUGACGCUGAGGCGCGAAAGCGUGGGGAGCAAACAGGAUUAGAUACCCGCGUAGUCCCUGUCUCUUAUAC